GUUCAACCUGCUUGGUUGUCACAAAUUCAGAUCCAUCAGUAACUAGCUCAGUAGAUGAAACCAAAAUAUUUGCAUGUCUCCUUACUCCUUAGUCUAUUAUCUAUCAAGCAACUCAGCAAGAAUGCAGGUAUCACUAAAUUCUCAUUUGUCAUCUUAAAUAAAUCAAAGUUUAGCAAGACAGCAUAAUGAUCAAAUACCAGUUCCAGAACCCAAAAUCCCCUUGUUUAAAGGGAAAUCUAAUUGAGUAGGUGCAAAGUAUGAUGAUACUAAAUAGAGGAUUAAGAUUAAGUGCUACCAAGCAUGUGUAGAGUCUAGAGUAAUUUCUGUUACAAGUUCCGCACAUUCGUACUUUCUACCUAUUAGUGACUAUGUUAAGAUAUCUGUUGACAUUAGUGCAAACGGACGUUAGCAUGCACUUCAAAGCAAAAAGUGAACGAAACUCUUCCGAUAGAUUGAAAUGAAAAUCAAUUCACGUUUCACUGAACUUGUAUCCAAACAAACACUAAAUUCUUUUCACUAUACUCUCGUGCCUUAAUAUAUGCCUUGAUAUAUGAAGUAGAAAACUCAUAUCAUAGCAACAAAUUAUACUAUGCAUUCUUGUGCAUAAGUGUGACUCUAAAGCUGGAAGCUGCUGGCAAUUAUAAUUAGUUGACUCUGAUUGACUUAUUCUUUUCCAAUCUUUUAGCAGUUAUCUUGCACUAUUAUAUGAUUAAACUCUACUUUUAAGUUCAUUACAGUCACAGAAAAGUUACUUAUGGACAUUUAAACAAUCUCAGAACAACCUAAUUCAGGCUUCAAGCAGCAGCAAUACCAUUAACAAAAGACAAAAAAGGGUAAAGAAACCCAACAUGAGGGAAGUUAUAGACAAUGCGAUCGAACCGCUGAGUCUUGAGAAAGAAAUGCUGGCACAUGUCCUUAGCAUCAACACCAUGAAGGACAAGGCAACCCUUUGCUUCAAGCUCCCUCACAUUGCUAAGUCCAUUACUAUACUUCUUUGCAAGAUUCUCUGCCAAAAAAAAUCAAAUGGGCAUUUCCAAGUUUUGAUCUUUUUUCUUUUUUCAGGAAGCUAAAGAGGAAAAUGAAUAGAAAAUGUUAGACUUGUUCUGACCCUGGGAAUCAAGGGAAGUUGCAACGAGAUUGUGAGCAGAACCAAAAGCAGUGGCUAAACAGAGAGAAAAGGAGAAGUCACCCUCUCCAACAAGGAGUAUCCUCUGCUUUGAUGAGUAAUGCUUCUUCCAUUUCUCUGACUCUUGAUGAUGAUCAUCAUCAUUGACAUCAAUGUCAAGUUCAUCAUUAUUGUCUACUCUAUCUUCUUCUUGUUCUUGUUCUAUUCUAGCCAUUGUUGUUUUGAUCAAGAAUAAUGCAUUGCAUUGGUCUAAAGGAUUUACAGUGAGAACCCAAUUUGACGAAUCGUAAUGAACCAAAGUGAAGAACUUUAUUGCGUC